AUCUGAUGGUGAGGUCAAGAGUCAAGCAACUUCUUAAAACAUUCCCAAUACUCAUAAAAUAUCACCUUAUCCCUUUGCAAGAUACUAGAAAUCUCAUUCCUUAAUCG